CUGUGUAAAUCCUGGAUCCACCAUUUACCAGCUGUGUAACCCUGGACAACAAUUCCAUCUUUCUGACCUCCGUGUCUUUCUCUGCAAAACAGCGGUAAGAAUGAUCCUACUUCAAUAGAGUUGCUGUGAGGAUUCACUGAGAUCAUGUGUACCAAGCUCCUACAAUAGUACUGAACCCACAGCCAUGGAUCAAGACCAUUAACUUAUAAUCAGUGAUAUCCAAGAGGAUGGGAAGAGAAUAUUAAGCCUGGUGCUCUGCAAAUUAAUACUUGCAGCUUAAAAAUACGCUGGACAUGCGACAAUGGUGCUGAGUACUUUGGGGGAAGAUCACAACAGUCUUGGUAGCGGUGUCACAGCAAAAUAUUUCAGAGGUACCAGAUGAGCUAGCUCCAAGGCAAAUGAGGCAAUAUUAUGUUUAACUGUUUGUUCGGAAACUUCUUUUAUUAAAAAAGAUUUUAAAUAUUAAUGCUAUUUUCAAUACAGGUGUGAUAACACUCAAUAAAGCAUGGUGUACUUGAUAU
rnacentral:antisense_RNA from 1 species